rnacentral:rRNA from 1 species
GAUGAACGCUGGCGGCGUGCCUAAUACAUGCAAGUCGAGCGAACAGACGAGGAGCUUGCUCCUCUGACGUUAGCGGCGGACGGGUGAGUAACACGUGGAUAACCUACCUAUAAGACUGGGAUAACUUCGGGAAACCGGAGCUAAUACCGGAUAACAUGUUGAACCGCAUGGUUCAACAGUGAAAGACGGUCUUGCUGUCACUUAUAGAUGGAUCCGCGCCGCAUUAGCUAGUUGGUAAGGUAACGGCUUACCAAGGCAACGAUGCGUAGCCGACCUGAGAGGGUGAUCGGCCACACUGGAACUGAGACACGGUCCAGACUCCUACGGGAGGCAGCAGUAGGAAAUCUUCCGCAAUGGGCGAAAGCCUGACGGAGCAACGCCGCGUGAGUGAAGAAGGUCUUCGGAUCGUAAAACUCUGUUAUUAGGGAAGAACAAAUGUGUAAGUAACUAUGCACGUCUUGACGGUACCUAAUCAGAAAGCCACGGCUAACUACGUG